AGCAUAUAAUAAAAAUUUCCUCCACUGCCUAUUGAAUGCGCUACACCCAGUCCAGUAGGAGGCGCUAAUUAUCCUUCAGUUGCCAACCGCCACUCAGGCCAAAAGCGCAGAAGAACAAAAAUGACCGGGAAAAUCUGACAGGACUGAGAAGAGGAUAACGGCACAGUGGGGUUUUAGAAGCCCAUCAGAGUGAUUUUCUGAGUUCUUUCACACGUGUAUGCUCAGCGAAUGGAUGGAUUAUCCAAGCAAGGUACAGAAUGAAAGACUUGACUGAGUUAGAAGAAGCUGGGCGACUCUUCAGAGUGAAGAUGUUAUGUGCCUGCUUUCGAACCACACCCGUGGAGAUAUCUGCCAACAAAUGGACAAUCAUUCAUGGGGCUACAGAUGGGGCUGCAUUCAAGAAUUUUCAAUAUGCAGUUAUGUCAAAGCGCUCGUUUCGGCUGGCCAGAUUGGAACAGACCUGAAUGGGAAGAUGGCAAAGCUAAGACUGACAAUGUCCAGGAAAAAUGUUAACUAAAAAUGAGUGUUUUUCCUCAGCGAGUGAGUUUGGGAAUGUUUUAAAUGUUCCUAAAAGUUUGAAAAUGUUAUACUGAGGGAAAAAAGUGAGCGCUUUGAAAAGGCUUUAAAAAGAAAAUAAAGUCUGAAGUUGAUGGUAAAUGAAUUUAAAGUUUUUACUUGAAAAGUUUGAACUUGUUUGUACUUGUCAAGUCUGUGCUGAAAAAAAUGGAGUAAAGUUUGUAUUUGAAAAGACUUGGAAUUGUGUGUUCUGUAGAAUGAGUACACAUAUAUGUGCAGGCUGUAUAAAAAAACAUAGUUGUGCCACUUAUAUAAGUGAAAGUACAUGGUGUCAUCAUAUUUGAAGCAUAUUUGUAUCCCUAAUAUAAGUGAAGGUACAUGGUGUCAUCAUAUUUGAAGCAUAUUUGUAUCCCUAAUAUAAGUGGACAAUCAUUCAUGGGGCUACAGAUGGGGCUGCAUUCAAGAAUUUUUAAUAUGCAGUUAUGUCAAAGCUCUCGUUUUGGCUGGCCAGAUUGGAACAGACCUGAAUGGGAAGAUGGCAAAGCUAAGACUGACAAUGUCCAGGAAAAAUGUUAACUAAAAAUGAGUGUUUUUCCUCAGCGAGUGAGUUUGGGAAUGUUUUAAAUGUUCCUAAAAGUUUGAAAAUGUUAUACUGAGGGAAAAAAGUGAGCGCUUUGAAAAGGCUUUAAAAAGAAAAUAAAGUCUGAAGUUGAUGGUAAAUGAAUAUUAAGUUUUUACUUGAAAAGUUUGU